GUUGUGGUUAAGUGACAAAGCAUCUGCUUGGCAUGCAGAAGAUCCCAAGUUCAAUACCUAGCUUCUGCA
rnacentral:tRNA from 1 species